UGUACGAGCACUACGUGGACGGCCAGAUC
rnacentral:piRNA from 1 species